UACAGAGGGGGCAAGCGUUGUUCGGAAUUACUGGGCGUAAAGGGCGCGUAGGCGGCCUGUUAAGUCGAACGUGAAAUCCCUGGGCUCAACCCAGGAACUGCGUCCGAUACUGGCAGGCUUGAAUUCGGGAGAGGGAUGCGGAAUUCCAGGUGUAGCGGUGAAAUGCGUAGAGAUGCGGAGGAACACCGAUGGCGAAGGCAAUCCCCUGGGCCUGCACUGACGCUCAUGCACGAAAGCGUGGGGAGCAAACAGG
rnacentral:rRNA from 1 species